CCUACGGGAGGCAGCAGUGAGGAAUAUUGGUCAAUGGUCGCAAGCCUGAACCAGCCAAGUCGCGUGAGGGAUGACGGUCCUAUGGAUUGUAAACCUCUUUUGUCGGGGAGCAAGGCCCGCCACGUGUGGCGGGAAGGAUAGUACCCGAAGAAAAAGCACCGGCUAACUCCGUGCCAGCAGCCGCGGUAAUACGGAGGAUGCGAGCGUUAUCCGGUUUUUUUGGGUUUAAAGGGUGCUGAGGGGGAAGUUUAAGUCAGCGGUCAAAUGUCGGUGCUCAACACCGGCCUGCCGUUGAAACUGGUGUUCGUGAGUGAGGGAGAAGUAUGAGGAAUGGGGGGUGUAGCGGUGAAAGGCAUAGA
rnacentral:rRNA from 1 species